rnacentral:rRNA from 1 species
GGAACACAUCGGAAUUUGCCCAGUCGUGGGGGAUAACGUAGGGAAACUUACGCUAAUACCGAUACGACGAUAAGGUGAAAGCGGGGGAUCUGUAAGGACCUCGCGCGGAUGGAUAAGCCGAUGUCGGAUUAGCUAGUUGGCGGGGUAAGAGCCCACCAAGGCGACGAUCCGUAGCUGGUCUGAGAGGAUGAUCAGCACACUGGGACUUGAGACACGGCCCAGACUCCUACGGGAGGCAGCAGUGGGGAAUAUUGGACAAUGGGGGCAACCCUGAUCCAGCAAUGCCGCGUGUGUGAAGAAGGCCUUCGGGUUGUAAAGCACUUUUAUCCGGAACGAAACGCGCAGGGUGAAUAUCCUUGCGAACUGACGGCACCGGAGGAAUAAGCACCGGCUAACUUCGUGCCAGCAGCCGCGGUAAUACGAAGGGUGCAAGCGUUACUCGGAAUUACUGGGCGUAAAGGGUGCGUAGGUGGUUGUCUAAGUUUGCUGUGAAAGCCCCGGGCUCAAACCAGGGAAUGGCAGUGAAUACUGGAUAGCUAGAGUGCGGUAAGGG